rfam:Gossypium hirsutum cultivar TM-1 chromosome 12, whole genome shotgun sequence
AAUCCAUGCAUCGGGCAUUUUCUAAUUAGUUCAUUGAAACGCUCUCAUGUUUCAUAUAAUAUUUUAUCUUUCAAUUUCCUAAGUGAUGUACUGUCGUUCCUAAGCUU